CCUACGGGAGGCAGCAGUGGGGAAUAUUGGACAAUGGGCGCAAGCCUGAUCCAGCCAUGCCGCGUGAGUGAUGAAGGUCUUAGGAUUGUAAAGCUCUUUCACCGGUGAAGAUAAUGACGGUAACCGGAGAAGAAGCCCCGGCUAACUUCGUGCCAGCAGCCGCGGUAAU
rnacentral:rRNA from 2 species